GGAAAGUUGAAAAGAACUUUGAAGAGAGAGUUAAAAAGGGCGUGAAACCGCUUAGAAUAAAACGGACGGAGCCGUCUGUAGCCCGUCGGAAUCAGUCGGAUCGACGCGUGAAAGCGAGUACGACAUUGAAAAACGGAACGAAAGUCCGGUCGUCUCGUAGUAAAAAAGUAGCGCUCGUUCGAUGCAUUUCCGAAGGGUAAGCACCGCGACCGAUGUCGAAGGCUAGCGAAGCCGUCGGAUUGAGGUCGAGCUCGUUUACUCGAGUCUCGUUACCAGUCCUUCGGUAUGAAUAGAAUUCGUUAGACCCUAGCAUCGAGAAUAAAAACGAACGAACGUCGGUGAACUAUAUACGCUCACCCGUUACGACGGACGUGCGGCCGUUCGAUCGUCGCCUGCUCGCAGGUUACGGUUUGAAUCCGGUUCGUAUCCGAAGUCGUCGGUGACGUUUCGGCGUUCGGGAGUCCGCGGUGUCUGAGUCGGUCACCCGUCCGACCCGUCUUGAAACACGGACCAAGGAGUCUAACGUAAGCGCGAGCUAAUGGGUGGAAAACCCAUAAGCGAAAUAAAAGUAAAGGUCGUUUCGGACGGCCGAGGUACGAUCCCGAAGAACGAAAGUAUCUACGGGCGCAGUACCGUCCCGUCCCGACCGCUUGUCGGUAGGGCGGAGAUAGAGUGCAUACGUUGGGACCCGAAAGAUGGUGAACUAUGCCUGAGCAGAGCGAAGCCAGAGGAAACUCUGGUGGAGGUUCGUAGCGGUUCUGACGUGCAAAUCGAUCGUCAGACU
rnacentral:rRNA from 1 species